rnacentral:rRNA from 1 species
UACGUAGGCAGCGAGCGUUGUUCGGAAUUAUUGGGCGUAAAGAGCUCGUAGGCGGUCUGUCACGUCGGCUGUGAAAUCCCGAGGCUCAACCUCGGGUCUGCAGUCGAUACGGGCAAACUAGAGUAUUGCAGGGGAGACUGGAAUUCCUGGUGUAGCGGUGAAAUGCGCAGAUAUCAGGAGGAACACCGGUGGCGAAGGCGGGUCUCUGGGCAAUAACUGACGCUGAGGAGCGAAAGCGUGGGGAGCGAACAGG